AGCUUGCUCUCGGGUGACGAGUGGCGGACGGGUGAGUAAUGUCUGGGAAACUGCCUGAUGGAGGGGGAUAACUACUGGAAACGGUAGCUAAUACCGCAUAACGUCGCAAGACCAAAGAGGGGGACCUUCGGGCCUCUUGCCAUCAGAUGUGCCCAGAUGGGAUUAGCUAGUAGGUGGGGUAACGGCUCACCUAGGCGACGAUCCCUAGCUGGUCUGAGAGGAUGACCAGCCACACUGGAACUGAGACACGGUCCAGACUCCUACGGGAGGCAGCAGUGGGGAAUAUUGCACAAUGGGCGCAAGCCUGAUGCAGCCAUGCCGCGUGUAUGAAGAAGGCCUUCGGGUUGUAAAGUACUUUCAGCGGGGAGGAAGGUGUUGUGGUUAAUAACCGCAGCAAUUGACGUUACCCGCAGAAGAAGCACCGGCUAACUCCGUGCCAGCAGCCGCGGUAAUACGGAGGGUGCAAGCGUUAAUCGGAAUUACUGGGCGUAAAGCGCACGCAGGCGGUCUGUCAAGUCGGAUGUGAAAUCCCCGGGCUCAACCUGGGAACUGCAUUCGAAACUGGCAGGCUAGAGUCUUGUAGAGGGGGGUAGAAUUCCAGGUGUAGCGGUGAAAUGCGUAGAGAUCUGGAGGAAUACCGGUGGCGAAGGCGGCCCCCUGGACAAAGACUGACGCUCAGGUGCGAAAGCGUGGGGAGCAAACAGG
rnacentral:rRNA from 1 species